AUUGAACGCUAGCGGCAGGCUUAACACAUUCAAGUCGAGCGCACGGCGGACGGGUGAGUAAUGUAUGGGAAACUGCCUGAUGGAGGGGGAUAACUACUGGAAACGGUAGCUAAUAACGCCUACCAUCAGAUGUGCACAGAUGGGAUUAGCGAGGAGGUGGGGUAAUGGCUCACCUAGGCGACGAUACCUAGCUGGUCAGAGAUGAUGACCAGCUGCACUGUAACGUAGACACUGUCCAGACUCCUACGGUAGUCAGCAGUGGGGAAUAUUGCACAAUGGGCGCAUGCCUGAUGCAGCCAUGCCGCGUGUGGGAAGAAGUCCUUCGGGUUGUAAAGCACUUUCAGCGAGGAGGCGUUACUCGCAGAAGAAGCACCGGCUAACUCCGUGCCAGCCGCCGCGGUAAUAC
rnacentral:rRNA from 1 species